rnacentral:rRNA from 1 species
ACAGUAGGGAAUCUUCCGCAAUGGACGAAAGUCUGACGGAGCAACGCCGCGUGAGUGAAGAAGGUUUUCGGAUCGUAAAACUCUGUUGUCAGGGAAGAACAAGUAUGGGAGUAACUGCCCGUACCUUGACGGUACCUGGCCAGAAAGCCACGGCUAACUACGUGCCAGCAGCCGCGGUAAUACGUAGGUGGCAAGCGUUGUCCGGAAUUAUUGGGCGUAAAGCGCGCGCAGGCGGCCUUUUAAGUCUGAUGUGAAAGCCCCCGGCUCAACCGGGGAGGGUCAUUGGAAACUGGAAGGCUUGAGUGCAGAAGAGAAGAGCGGAAUUCCACGUGUAGCGGUGAAAUGCGUAGAGAUGUGGAGGAACACCAGUGGCGAAGGCGGCUCUUUGGUCUGUAACUGACGCUGAGGCGCGAAAGCGUGGGGAGCGAACAGGAUUAGAUACCCUGGUAGUCCACGCCGUAAACGAUGAGUGCUAAGUGUUGGGGGGUUUCCGCCCCUCAGUGCUGCAGCUAAC